GGCUGGUUGGCUCAGUUGGUCAGAGCGUGGUGCUGAUAACACCAAAGUCCUGGGUUCGAUCCCUGUACCAGCCA